rnacentral:lncRNA from 1 species
CAAAGCCAAUUUAUAAUGACUGAUUCCAACCCCUAAACCUGAAGGCUUGGUUCACCGUGAGCAGACCUGGAUUCACAUCGCUUCUGUACUAUACUGGAGGUUAUUACUGACUGGGACCAGGCUAGGAGGUUAGUACUGACUGGGACCAGGCUAGGAGGUUAUUACUGACUGGGACCAGGCUAGGAGGUUAUACUGACUGGGACCAGGCUAGGAGGUUAGUACUGACUGGGACAAGACUAGGAGGUUAGUACUGACUGGGACCAGGCUAGGAGGUUAUUACUGAUCUGGGACCAGGCUAGGAGGUUAGUACUGACUGGGACCAGGCUAAGAGGUUAGUUCUGACUGGGACCAGGCUAGGAGGUUAUUACUGAUCUGGGACCAGGCUAUGAGGUUAAUACUGACUGGGACCAGGCUAUGAGGUUAAUACUGACUGGGACCAGGCUAGGAGCUUAGUACUGACUGGGACCAGGCUAGGAGGUUACUACUGACUGGGACCAGGCUAGGAGGUUAUGGGACCAGGCUAGGAGGUUAGUACUGACUGGGACCAGGCUAGGAGGUUAUUACUUAUCUGGGACCAGGCUAGGAGGUUAUUACUGACUGGGACCAGGCUAUGAGGUGAGUACUGAUCUGGGACCAGGCUAGGAGGUUAUUACUGAUCUGGGACCUGGCUAGGAGGUUAUUACUGAUCUGGGACCAGGCUAGGAGGUUAGUUCUGAUCUGGGACCAGGCUAGGAGGUUAUUACUGAUCUGGGACCAGGCUAUGAGGUUAGUGCUGACUGGGACCAGGCUAGGAGGUUAUUACUGAUCUGGGACCAGGCUAGGAGGUUAGUACUGACUGGGACCAGGCUAGGAGGUUAUUACUGAUCUGGGACCAGGCUAGGAGGUUAGUACUGAC